GAUGAUUGAUUAGGGUUUUAGUGUUGUCGGACCAGGCUUCAUUCCCCCCAAUUAUCACUCCCUCACAAUCCGAAUUAACGAAUAAAAUUUGUCCAUUUUCAACUUUUGAUCUAGGGUCUUCAAGAUCUUCUGAGUUUCAGGUGGGUUUGAUUUUUUUUUAAACAGAUAGGUGUAAUGAUGAAGGAGUCUGACUCAAGACAAGUUAGCAUUCAGAGAGGCUAAAUCUAUUCCUGGUCAUGAUUAAUGAUUAGGGUUAUUUACUUUCAAAUCCGUUUGUUUCUAAAAAAUCAAACCACAUCUGCUAGAUCUGAAGCUAGUAGAUCUGAGUCUUUCAAACUACUGCUAUAUUUAUGUUUCUUGUUAGUACAACUAUUAGCCUUAGGGUUUCGUCAUUACAUUACUUCAAAGAUUUAAUACUUUAUAUUUAUAGAUUCCCAUA
rnacentral:precursor_RNA from 1 species